GAAAUGUAUAUCCAGACAUGGACUAUAGCUAGAUACUAACUUUUGUGUUAGUUGUUUAGUUGAAAUGUAAUCUUAUUUCUGUAAAAGAAAAAAACAACAACAAACAAAUCAGCCUUUUUUUUAUAUCAAUGUCAUCAAUGUGUAGGCCUAAUAUUAGACUUUCAAUGAUUCAGAAGUUUCUCUACAGUUUCGUUAUUUUUUUUUCCAGUCAUUGAUGUUAGCAUGUACUACACAAAGAAAAACAGGCAAAGCAUGAAGCCAAAGGAAAUGUUUUUACCAAGGCAUGUUCCUCAAUAGCGGAGAGAGUUUUAUCCAGUGUCGGUUCUGCAGAAGAACCCAUUCAUAGCAGACCACCCAUUGCAGCACUUGUAAGGUCGCUAUAAAGAACCCGACAGACUCUGCGACCAAAAGAUCCCACUGACGUGUCGUCAAGCCUUGACGAAGAUUUAAUCGAUCAUAGUGCACCGGGAUUUUAUCAAAAAAGAGUAAAAGUUGGGGAAAGGCGCCAUCACAUGUUUUGUACUGAUAGACAGAUGCAACUACUCGCACGCGCAAAAACUUGGUAUAUGGAUGCAACUUUUCGGGUGGUGAACAAGCCAUGGUCUCAGCUGUUUUCCAUCCACGCCUUCAUUAAGACUGGAGAGACCACCCGACAGUUACCAUUGGUGUUUUGUGUAAUGUCGGGUAAAAGCCAAGACGACUAUUAUAAGUUUCCAUAUUAGAUGCCAUAGCAAAUCAAAGAUCAUAUAAUAAAAUAAGUCAAAAAACCCAAAUAUGGAAAAAGAAAGAGCUGAAGAAAUGGUGAUUUGAGCACCUAUGCUUUCUCAUAGGUGUUUUUGGAGGUUAACUACAUCAGAAAGAUCAAGAAAGUUGGAAAUGGCUAUUCAUAUUAUGGAAACUUUUUCCCACAGAGCUUGAUAAUCAGGUAAAAUGCUGGAAGAUUAUUUGAUGUAUGAUAACAACAAGAGAUCCCAAGCAUCAAUUUAUUUUAUAAUUCUGGAAAAGAAUGCAUUUGACCCAAUUUUUGAAUAUUUUUUUUUGUUUUUACUGUUAAAUAUUCAUCCCAAACACAAUUAGAUUUUAAUUCUCUACAGAAAUUUAUGUAUAAUAUAGAAUGUAAAGUGACAUAUAAAUCACUUAGAAUUUGGUCGGAAAUCAUAAAGUAUUUAAUAGGCAUAAUCUAGAAACCAAAUGUAGAUCAAAUAUACCCAGAAUUACAAAAAACCUUGACCUACAUUAAGGUGACUUUCCCUUGCUUAUGAAAUGAAAUAGGGUUUAAUAUCCUACUUUUCUGUGUUAUUAUGGUGAUUCUGCCCUACAACCUACUCUUAUAUCAAAUAUUUCAACUGUCAAGGGUUGUUUAAAGGGAACCUAGGAGGGCCGAAUGGUUAACACACGCACAUUGGAUCAGAAGGGUCUGUCAUUGAGUCAGAUAAUUCAAUUGUCAAGGGUUCUUUAAAGUAAACGCAGUGGGGGUAGUUUCAAUUCUGGGCUUAUACCCAAUUAUCCCUUGCCAUGUCCUACACUACUGACGUGUGGGAACUAUGUCGGAACUAUGUCCAGUUGAAAUUUCUCGGCCAAUGCACUCACUGAACCACAGUGGCUCCUCCUUGCUUUUGACUUGUGAUUAUUUAUAUAUAUUUUGUACAUAUUAUUUAAUGUUUGCGAUUUUCUCUGAUAUUUUUUUAUUUUUCAAUCCUGUAAUCUUGAUGCUUUGCUCCUUUUAUGUAAAAAAUAUUCAUUUUGUUUGUUGUUUUUUUUUUAAUGAGGAAAAGGUUCUACAUCAUUUUAUUACUCCUGCAAAAUAGUGCAUUUUUCUUUUGUUAGUUUUCUGUGUAUGCUAGUUAUUUCUAGAUGCCCCACAAAUCACUUGUAAUAUGACUUUGUAGCACUUUUCAGUUUCUGAAAGUAUUUCAAUUUAGUGCAUAAUUAAUCUAAUUAGGGCUUGGUUUGGAUGUUAUUAAAUUUAGAUAUAUUUGAAUUAUAUAUUUUUGGGGUAUGGGGUAGGGAUCUUUCUUUUCUCAGUUCUUGUUUUCGGGUAAAGAAAAAAUUAAAUAGCUAUUUUGUAUUUUGUGAUGUGGGGGGAGGGGGGCAACGUAUAACAC